GACUCUGUGGCGCAACGGUCGCGCGUCUGACUCCAGAUCAGAAGGGCUGCGAGUUCAUCUCACGUCAGGGUCA
rnacentral:tRNA from 1 species